GAGUAAAGGACAGAAUGCUGUGGUGGAGAUUCAAACACAGAGGCCUGUGGCUCUGGAGCUCUACAAGGACCAUAAAGAACUGGGGCGCUUCAUGCUGAGAUAUGUGGGCUCCACCAUUGCUGCUGGAGUUGUCACAGAGAUCAAAGAGUAAGAACCAUUUGGAACUGGAUCCUCCCGAAAAAACUGGGCGAAACCUCUGGACAGAAGUGCAAUUCCCCCUCAGAGCUACAGUAACACAAACACAUACACACAGAUGCCCACCAGGCAACAUCUAGCCACAGUUCAUUUCACAUUUCACCCGGCUAAAGGCCCUAGAAUGAGCAUGAAUGUUUGUGUGUGUGUGAGAGAGACUGCAUUUUGUCCUGCUCCUCAACUUGCAGUAUACAAUUUGAUCUGUGUAGUAAUUCAUCCAAAAUUUCAACUCAAACCCUCCUAAACACACCCUCCUCACAACAAACUGAACUCAUUUUCUUUUAUAAUUUUUGACUAUAUUAUGGCAGCACAUAAUGAACAUUUAGUCUUGGUUCAAAUGGAAGAUUUUUAAGGUUACUUAAUAUGAUUAGUUAAGGAUGUGUACAUUUGUAAAAGGGAAAAUAGAAUAAACAACACAACUGGCUGAUCUCAUCUCCUCCAUCAAUUUCUCAUGCAAGCAGGACAGUGUGAGUGAAACCUGCCCUUCCAUUGCUGCUACUCUGUCUUGACCAUUAAUGAGAAAACAGAAGGAUUGAGAACUAGUGGACAUGCUUGAUAUGCUGUGGAUGUGGGAGAAACUCAUCCGCGGGUCUGUAAUCUAACAGUAAUCACUUUAAGGACCUAACGGACAUGACUCUUACUCGUCUGUUUUUGACUUGAUUAUUAAGGGGUUUUAAUUUGAAGAAUAUUUUGUUUGGGUUUCUCGAAACUGAAGUUGUUCAUUUGGGGGAAAGCUGCUUCAUCAGAAAAAUAAAGAAAAAUAUUGAUCACUGUGGAAAA